AUUAACACAUCUAUAAUUGAAAUUUCUUUUGUAAGAAUGCAGAAUUAGGAUUGAGGAACAAUUACCAAAAGCUCCUCGGACCUCGGGCAAUGAGUUUAUACAAAGUUGUUCAGCCAUCAGUUGAUCUCCUUUUCCAUAUACAAAAUGUCAGCCAACUUUGGUAACUUAUGUUUUUUCUGUCGUGUAAUAAAGCUUGUGCCAAAUUUUGUGCCAUCCUUAAAAGAACUCAACUUCAAAACCAUCGAAGCACCCUCAAUAAGCUUGUGCCCUCCUGUACUGUUGCAGAUCCAUUGAA
rnacentral:lncRNA from 7 species